CACACUGAACAUUCUAGCGGCGGACGGGUGAGUAACGCGUGAACAAUCUGUCCCAUACAGGGGGAUAACAGAUGGAAACAUCUGCUAAUACCGCAUAAGACCACGAUGCCACAUGGCGAUGAGGUAAAAGGAGCAAUCCGGUAUGGGGUGAGUUCGCGUCCGAUUAGCUAGUUGGCGAGGUAACGGCCCACCAAGGCGACGAUCGGUAGCCGACCUGAGAGGGUGAUCGGCCACACUGGAACUGAGAGACGGUCCAGACUCC
rnacentral:rRNA from 1 species